rnacentral:rRNA from 1 species
CGUAGCCGCGGUAAUACAGAGGGUGCAAGCGUUAAUCGGAAUUACUGGGCGUAAAGCGCGCGUAGGUGGUUUGUUAAGUUGGAUGUGAAAUCCCCGGGCUCAACCUGGGAACUGCAUCCAAAACUGGCAAGCUAGAGUAUGGUAGAGGGUGGUGGAAUUUCCUGUGUAGCGGUGAAAUGCGUAGAUAUAGGAAGGAACACCAGUGGCGAAGGCGACCACCUGGACUGAUACUGACACUGAGGUGCGAAAGCGUGGGGAGCAAACAGGAUUAGAUACCCCAGUAGUCCCUGUCUCUUAUACA